ensembl:snRNA Gm23229 predicted gene, 23229
GCUUCUGGUUUUGGCAGCUUGCAUCUAAAGUUGGAACAAUUAAAGAGAUUAGUACGGUCCCUGUGUGAGAAUGAUGUAUAAAUUCCUGAAGAGGUCCACAUUUUA